rnacentral:sRNA from 1 species
AUUCUACCCAUGCGGGGAAGGAUGAGAAGCUUCGACUAAGGUUCGAUUCGAGCGCAGCGAGAAAGCGUUGCCGC